ANACUNNCAAGGAUUCCCCUAGUAACUGCGAGUGAAGCGGGAAAGCUCAAAUUUAAAAUCUGGCGGCCUUUGGCCGUCCGAGUUGUAGUCUGAAGAAGUGCCUUCCGCGCUGGACCGUGUACAAGUCUCCUGGAACGAGCGUGUCAUAGAGGGUGAGAAUCCCGUCUUUGACACGGACUACCAGUGCUCUGUGAUGCGCUCUCAAAGAGUCGAGUUGUUUGGGAAUGCAGCUCAAAAUGGGUGGUGAAUUCCAUCUAAAGCUAAAUAUUGGCGAGAGACCGAUAGCGAACAAGUACCGUGAGGGAAAGAUGAAAAGCACUUUGGAAAGAGAGUUAAACAGUACGUGAAAUUGUUGAAAGGGAAACGCUUGAAGUCAGUCGCGUUCUCCGAGACUCAGCCUCGCCUUCCGGCCCGGUGUACUUCUCGGCGAACGGGCCAGCAUCAAUUUUGAUCGUCGGACAAGGGCGAGAGGAAGGUGGCACCUUUCGGGGUGUGUUAUAGCCUCUCGUCGCAUACGACGGUCGGGAUUGAGGACCGCAGCACGCCUUUAUGGUCGGGGUUCGCCCACGUUCGUGCUUAGGAUGCUGGCGUAAUGGCUUUAAACGACCCGUCUUGAAACACGGACCAAGGAGUCUAACAUGCCCGCGAGUGUUCGGGUGGAAAACCCGUGCGCGUAAUGAAAGUGAAAGUUGGGACCUCCGUCGUGGAGGGCACCGACGCCCGGACCAGACCUUCUGUGACGGAUCUGCGGUAGAGCGUGUAUGUUGGGACCCGAAAGAUGGUGAACUAUGCCUGAAUAGGGUGAAGCCAGAGGAAACUCUGGUGGAGGCUCGUAGCGAUUCUGACGUGCAAAUCGAUCGUCAAAUUUGGGUAUAGGGGCGAAAGACUNNUCGAACCNNNNNNNNNNNNNNNNNNNNN
rnacentral:rRNA from 1 species